UAACCUUAUAAAUACUGGGUUUCAUUGGUC
rnacentral:piRNA from 1 species